rnacentral:rRNA from 1 species
AUUGAACGCUGGCGGCCGGCCUAACACAUGCAAGUCGAACGAGUGGCGGACGGGUGAGUAAUGUCUGGGAAACUGCCUGAUGGAGGGGGAUAACUACUGGAAACGGUAGCUAAUACCGCAUACAAUCAGAUGUGCACAGAUGGGAUUAGAUAGUUGGUGGGGUAACGGCUCACCAAGGAGACGAUCCCUAGCUGGUCUGAGAGGAUGACAAGCCACACUGGAACUGAGACACGGUCCAGACUCCGACGGUAGGCAGCAGUGGGGAAUAUUGCACCAUGGGCGCAAGCCUGAUGCAGCCAUGCCGCGUGUAUGAAGAAGGCCUUCGGGUUGUAAAGUACUUUCGGCGGGGAGGCGUUACCCGCAGAAGAAGCACCGGCUAACUCCGUGCCAGCAGCCGCGGUAAUUC